UACGAAGGUGUCAAACGUUGUCCGGAAUUACUGGGCGUAAAGGGCGCGUAGGCGGCUUGAUAAGUCAGAUGUGAAAGCUCAGGGCUUAACCCUGGAAUUGCAUCUGAUACUGUUGAGCUUGAGUUCGGUAGAGGAGGGCGGAAUUCCAGGUGUAGCGGUGAAAUGCGUAGAUAUCUGGAGGAACACCCGUGGCGAAGGCGGCUCUCUGGUCCGAUACUGACGCUGAGGUGCGAAAGCUAGGGUAGCAAACAGG
rnacentral:rRNA from 1 species